AGCAUUGCCUUAUUUGGAUUAUCACGGCUACCUACCAUAUGGAGCUCCACAGUUGCAACAUCACCCACCUACGUACGUGUAUUUGCCACCAACAGACGAGCCGUAUGAGGGACCACCGGGAGAGAGAUUUGAGGACUGAAGAAUGCAGAGAAUAUGCUACAUGGAUUAUUCUGGACUAUGCCUUUGCCUCUUUUGUAUCUUUGGAUUGUAAUAAUUCUAAUGGACUUUGGAUGUAUUGCGUUCUAUGUGUGGACUUUGGACAUGAGUUAUGUGUAAUAAUUGUAAUGGACUUUGGAU